GACGAACGCUGGCGGCGUGCUUAACACAUGCAAGUCGAACGAAGUGGCGAACGGGUGAGUAACGCGUAAUCAACCUGCCCUUCAGAGGGGGAAAACAGGUGGAAACGACUGCUAAUACCGCAUACUGAAGGAGGGGAUUGCGUCUGAUUAGCCAGUUGGAGGGGUAACGGCCCACCCAGGCGAUGAUCAGUAGCCGGUCCGAGAUGAGGAACGGCCACAUUGGGACUGGGACACGGCCCAGACUCCGACGGGGGUCAGCAGUGGGGAAUCUUCCGCAAUUGACGAAAGUCUUACGGAGCAACGCCGCGUGAGUGAUGACGGCCUUCGGGUUGUAAAGCUCUGUUAAUCGGGACGCGGUACCGGAAUAGAAAGCCACGGCUAACUACGUGCCAGCAGCCGCGGUAAUAC
rnacentral:rRNA from 1 species